AAGUCGUAACAAGGUUUCCGUAGGUGAACCUGCGGAAGGAUCAUUACCGAGAUUUUUUCAUAGACUUGUUUUAUGAAAUCUCCCACCCUUUGUGUUACCAAAUAUUAUUACUUUGGUGAAGCGCGUCUUUCUUUUUGUCUCUCUUGGGAGGGAAAAAGAAGACCCAUCGGCUCUUUGUUGAGUGGGUGUGUUCUUCACCAAAGGAACCAUUAACUCUUAUUUAUUAUCAAUUGUCUGAGUUUAUAUUUUAAAUAAACAAAACUUUCAACAACGGAUCUCUUGGUUCUGGCAUCGAUGAAGAACC
rnacentral:misc_RNA from 1 species